GGGAGGCAGCAGUGGGGAAUCUUGCGCAAUGGGCGAAAGCCUGACGCAGCAACGCCGCGUGCGGGAUGACGGCCUUCGUGGUUGUAAACCGCUUUCAGCAGGGACGAAGAUGACGGUACCUGCAGAAGAAGCCCCGGCUAACUACGUGCCAGCAGCCGCGGUAAUACGUAGGGGGCAAGCGUUGUCCGGAUUCAUUGGGCGUAAAGAGCUCGUAGGCGGUUCAGUAAGUCGGGUGUGAAAGCUCCGAGCUCAACUCGGAGAGGCCACCCGAUACUGCUGUGACUUGAGUCCAGUAGAGGAGCGUGGAACUCCUGGUGUAGCGGUGAAAUGCGCAGAUAUCAGGAAGAACACCUGCAGCGAAGGCGGCGCUCUGGGCUGGAACUGACGCUGAGGAGCGAAAGCGUGGGUAGCAAACAGGAUUAGAUACCCUAGUAGUCC
rnacentral:rRNA from 1 species